rnacentral:sRNA from 1 species
GCUGGGUGUGGUAGCGCACACCUGUAAUCUCAGUGACUUGGGAGACUAAGGCAGGAGAUUCACAAGUCCGAGGCCAGCUUCCACAACUUACUGAGAUCCUGUCUCAA